GACGAACCGUGCGAACGUUGUUCGGAAUCACUGGGCUUAAAGGGCGCGUAGGCGGGCUGCCAAGUCUGGGGUGAAAUCCUCCGGCUCAACCGGAGAACGGCCUCGGAUACUGGCGGUCUCGAGGGAGGUAGGGGCGUGCGGAACUAAGGGUGGAGCGGUGAAAUGCGUUGAUAUCCUUAGGAACUCCGGUGGCGAAGGCGGCACGCUGGACCUCUUCUGACGCUGAGGCGCGAAAGCGUGGGGAGCGAACAGG
rnacentral:rRNA from 1 species